GACGAACGCUGGCGGCGUGCUUAACACAUGCCAGUCGAACGGAAAGGCCUGCUUUCCCUUGUGGAUUGCGGGUACUCGAGUGGCGAACGGGUGAGUAACACGUGAGUGAUCUGCCCCCAACUUGGGUAUAAGCCUGGGAAACUGGGUCUAAUUCCCGAUAGGACUGCAGGGUGGUGCCUGUGGUGGAAAACGAUUUUCUAGUGGUUGGGGAUGAGCUCGCGGCCUAUCAGCUUGUUGGUGGGGUAAUGGCCUACCAAGGCGGCGACGGGUAGCCGGCCUGAGAGGGUGGACGGCCACAUUGGGACUGAGAUACGGCCCAGACUACUACGGGAGGCAGCAGUGGGGAAUAUUGCACAAUGGGCGGAAGCCUGAUGCAGCGACGCCGCGUGGGGGAUGACGGCCUUCGGGUUGUAAACUCCUUUCGACCGCGAGGAAGCCACCUGGUUGGAAGGGUGGUGACGGUAGUGGUAGAAGAAGCACCGGCUAACUACGUG
rnacentral:rRNA from 1 species